GGGAACAUCAUUGAACUAAAAUAUAUGGAACGCUACCUUAACUGAACAUGCCGAGACUUGCCUGAAGCCAAAUUUUACCUCCAGACACGCGUGUCUGGAGGUAAAAUUCACGCGCGUUGUCGCGUUUCCUGCGUGGCGCCGAAGAACAGCGACAGCCAACUCUGGUAGCAACAUGUGAUUGAAAAGGUUUUGAAAAGGAAGGCACUUCUCUUGUUAUGGAGGUAAUCGGUUAAAUUUUCAUUCAAUACAGCAUGAAUCAUAACUUUUCAUACGUGUAUUCGAUCGGUAAAUCGGGGAAAUGAAACAUUUUUUCGUUUAAAUUGAAUGUGUGCACAAACGACAUGGAUUCAGAGAUUCAGAGUGGCAUUGUAAAGUUGUAAACACGUAAGUGCCUUUACUAAAUUUAUUAAAUAUGCGUGAAGCUCAAUCGCAUCUGCAACAGAGUAACUGAAAUUGUAUGUGAUUUGAGGACAGUUUGUUUGCCAGGUUCAAUCCUUCUUGUUCUUGAAUAUUCUGAAGCUCUUCGAUAUGUUUCCAUCUUAUGAUGUUGCCAUCUCCAUCAAUGGGCCAUUCCAUUUAUUAAAUAUACCCAGGCACCCCCUAUUGAGGGGUCCCUUCCAAAUCCCCUUAGGAUAUAAACAUUUUAGAACCCCCUUGGAUGUGAUUUUUGGAAGUUACCCCAUGGAUAUCUUGAUACCCCCUUUACAGACCUCUCAACUUCAACCCCCGUCGCCAAAAAAAUUUCGGUCAGUGUACCAUUUUAG